GAUGAACGCUGGCGGCGUGCCUAACACAUGCAAGUCGAACGGAGAUUACGGACGGAAGUUUUCGGAUGGAAGCCUGUAAUUCUUAGUGGCGGACGGGUGAGUAACGCGUGGGCAACCUGCCCUAUACAGGGGGAUAGCAGCUGGAAACGGCUGGUAAGACCGCAUAAGUCGGUUAAAUCGCAUGAUUUGAUCGGGAAAUGAGCAAUCAGGUAUAGGAUGGGCCCGCGUCCGAUUAGCCAGUUGGCAGGGUAAAGGCCUACCAAGGCGACGAUCGGUAGCCGGACUGAGAGGUCGGACGGCCACAUUGGGACUGAGACACGGCCCAAACUCCUACGGGAGGCAGCAGUGGGGGAUAUUGCACAAUGGAGGAAACUCUGAUGCAGCGACGCCGCGUGAGUGAAGAAGUAUUUCGGUAUGUAAAGCUCUAUCAGCAGGGAAGAUGAUGACGGUACCUGACUAAGAAGCCCCGGCUAACUACGUG
rnacentral:rRNA from 1 species